UACGUAGGGUCCGAGCGUUGUCCGGAAUUACUGGGCGUAAAGAGCUCGUAGGCGGUUUGUCGCGUUGUCCGUGAAAACUCACAGCUCAACUGUGGGCGUGCGGGCGAUACGGGCAGACUGGAGUACUGCAGGGGAGACUGGAAUUCCUGGUGUAGCGGUGGAAUGCGCAGAUAUCAGGAGGAACACCGGUGGCGAAGGCGGGUCUCUGGGCAGUAACUGACGCUGAGGAGCGAAAGCGUGGGGAGCGAACAGG
rnacentral:rRNA from 1 species